rnacentral:rRNA from 1 species
GACGAACGCUGGCGGCGUGCCUAAUACAUGCAAGUAGAACGCUGAAGACUGGUACUUGCACUAGUCAGAUGAGUUGCGAACGGGUGAGUAACGCGUAGGUAACCUACCUCAUAGCGGGGGAUAACUAUUGGAAACGAUAGCUAAUACCGCAUGACAAUUAAGUACUCAUGUACUAAAUUUAAAAGGAGCAAUUGCUUCACUAUGAGAUGGACCUGCGUUGUAUUAGCUAGUUGGUGAGGUAACGGCUCACCAAGGCCACGAUACAUAGCCGACCUGAGAGGGUGAUCGGCCACACUGGGACUGAGACACGGCCCAG